rnacentral:rRNA from 1 species
AUUGAACGCUGGCGGCAGGCCUAACACAUGCAAGUCGAGCGCGCGGCGGACGGGUGAGUAAUGUAUGGGGACUGCCCGUUAUAGGGGGAUAACUACUGGAAACGGUAGAUAAUACCCCAUACUAUCGGAUAACCCAUAUGGGAUUAGCUAGUAGGUGAGGUAAUGGCUCACCAAGGCGACGCUCCCUAGCUGGUCUGAGAGGAUGAUCAGCCACACUGGAACUGAGACACGGCCCAGACUCCUACGGAGGCAGCAAUGGGGAAUAUUGCACAAUGGGCGCAAGCCUGAUGCAGCCAUGCCGCGUGUAUGAAGAAGGCCCUAGGGUUGUAAAGUACUUUCAGUCGGGAGGCGUUACCGACAGAAGAAGCACCGGCUAACUCCGUGCCAGCAGCCGCGGUAAUUC